rnacentral:siRNA from 1 species
UGAGUCAAUUGGUUUGAUGAGUA